rnacentral:rRNA from 2 species
GGUUAAGUUAACAAGGGCGCAUGGUGAAUGCCUUGGCACUAGGAGCCGAUGAAGGACGGGACUAACACCGAUAUGCUUCGGGGAGCUGUACGUAAGCUAUGAUCCGGAGAUUUCCGAAUGGGGCAACCCAGCAGUUUUAAUCAACUGUUACCACUAGAUGAAUUCAUAGUCUAGUUGGAGGUAAACGCUGUGAACUGAAACAUCUCAUUAGCAGCAGGAAUAUAAAGAAAUUUCGAUUCCCUAAGUAGCGGCGAGCGAACGGGGAACAGCCCAAACCAAAGUGCUUGCACUUUGGGGUUGUAGGACUGAACAUUUGAGUUACCAAAGAACUUGAUAGUCGAAGGAUUUGGGAAAAUCCGCCAUAGAUGGUGAUAGCCCAGUAGAUUAAAUCAAAUUCUCUCAGUUCAGGAUCCUGAGUACGGCGGAACACGUGAAAUUCCGUCGGAAUCCGGGAGGACCAUCUCCCAAGGCUAAAUACUACCUAGUGACCGAUAGUGAACCAGUACCGUGAGGGAAAGGUGAAAAGCACCCCGGGAGGGGAGUGAAAUAGUUCCUGAAACCAUGUGCCUACAAUAAGUCAGAGCGCGUUAAUGCGUGAUGGCGUGCCUUUUGUAGAAUGAACCGGCGAGUUAUGAUCCCGUGCAAGGUUAAGACUAAAAAGU